UGGGAGCGGUUGUAUUUCGAGAGUAAACCCGGGACUUGCUUUCGGUUCUGGUUCCGAGGAUUCUAUUCCGGAUGGUUUACGACGACGACGGUUCGAUUUACGCUCGAGUGCGAUUCUGGUAGUCCAGUGGUGGCGAUUUGGGACGCUUCGUAAAGCUGAUGUGCUAGUUGACGCGAGUUCUAUCUCUCGUUCAUUUUUUUUCGGAUCAAUGUUUUUGAAGGAUUACCCCCCAGGAAUGGAACGGAGGAUUAGCAGCUAAUGCUCAUUAGUAUUGGAUUACGUGCCAAAAGGCCGCAUGGGGCUUGAUGCUGAGCCUGCCGCCUUGCUGCUAGAAUCUCCUUCGAGGAGCGUGAGAUACAUAUAAUGCAGUUUGUAUGUGAAUACGAUGUGAUAGCACGUUGCCAUUGCCGGAGCAGAAGUUGGAGCACUUCUUGUUCGGUGCCAAAAGCCUAGAAGCGUUUUUCGUCGACACGUUUUCCCAACAUAGAUAGAGUGACGUAGAGUGAAAGUGUGAGCCAUUUUUUUGGUUGUUUUCAAAAGAAAGGCGACAGGAGCUUUCCCUUUAUGAGUGAAAAGUGAAUAGAAGCAGAAGCAUUCGUUCGAGGAAAAGGGAUCUGUGCUUUCGGCACAAUCUGGUGUCGUCAUUUUCGUCGUCUUGUGUGUGGCACGCUGUGAAGAAGCAGUAUCCGUGACAUAGUGGGAAAUAAGCUCAGAUGCUCCUCCGACGACUCGAACGGGAAGUAGUAGAAGAAGAAAAAGCUCAAGACGACCCCGGUUGUUCCCGAGAACCAGUGUUUUGCACUCAUAAAUGUAUUCCAGAUCGUCUUGACGUAUGGCUAUGUACUAUUAUGCAAGCAAACUAUCAGCAGUAGCAUGUGGCACUCGAUGCCGGCAGGGAUUUGUCCGGAAGCACCGGAACCGGAAUGCCAACAACCGGAACAGUCCCGGCAACAAUGGCAUUGCUAAGAAGAAGGAUGACAAUGAUGAACCGGACGGCAAUGAAAAAGAUAAAAAGACCCUAUCGGCGCUGCUGUUCACCAACUCAGAUGAUCCCAAUGUGAUAUCAGUUAAAACCUCGGAACAGCCAGAAGUGUGUUGCGAGAGUACGCCCACCUUAACGCACACGGCUCUUGGAAGUGGUGGAGUGAUGUACGGAAAUGGCAACAUCGUGUCCGGUCCACUCGAAUCCCUCAUCGACCUUCUCAUGCCAGCCAACGACGGGGAGGAACUGGAUCAGGAAUACGUUUUCUCCUUCCUGCUGUCGUGUCGUUUUUUCAUCCGAACCCACGAGCUGCUGGGGAAGCUGCUGGAGACUGUCCCUGAUCCGGAGCCGCUGGACCGGCUGGUGCCCCUGCUGGGUGUCUGGACCCGUAAGUUCCCGUACGAUUUCCGAGACGAACGGAUGAUGAAUCACGUCAAACAUAUCGUAGCUAGAUGUGCAGAUACCAAACUAGCCGACGUUGUAUCUGAACUACUGUGUGCCUUGUUAGCUCGUCUAACCGAACUCGAGAAACACGAGGAAGAACUCAAAAGCUAUCAAUCAACUGUUGACAAUAAGACUGAACCGAUGAAAUGGCCGAGCGCCUCCCAGCUGGCCCAGGUGCUGUGCCGCAUCGAACGGAACCUGGCCAGAAAUGUGGGACCGGAGGAGUUUGUCCAGUGCAAUGCAAAUUUGUUGAAGGAUCCGAACCGGGAGGAUUUCACGCCACGGCUGCAAGGGGCCGGAACGAUCGGAGGAGGAACGACGCUGGACGGGAAAAAAACAUGCAAUCUGGAGAGCUAUCUGGAGUGGUCCGCCCGCUUGAGGUUGCUCGUGGCCAACGAAAUAUUGAAGUCCCAAAAUAUUCAGGACCGAAACCACACGGUUGAGCUCUGGAGUGGUGCCGCCCAGUACUGCCUCCUGGUGGGGAAUUACAACAGUGCCACAACCAUCCUGGAAUCGCUGGACAUCCCACCGAUCGCGAGAUUACAAAUCACGUGGAGUAAACUGUCGACGACCACCAGCCAGCAGUUGGACUGUAUGCAGCGCCAUGCGGAGGGUUGCGGCAAUUUGUGGAGUAAACAAACGGAAAUUGCUUCCGGUGGUGGCAAUGGCAAUGGCCGUGGCAGCGAUGGUGCCUCGGAUAACAGGCAACGGAAUUCAUCGGCAUCCAGUGUCAAAUCGGGGUCCAGUAAACCUUCCAAAGCCAGCAGUAGCAAUGAGUGGGUGGUGGUUCCGGUUUUUGUGGACAUCGUCAAGCUGGCCCUUAAAUCUAGGGAGGACUGCUGCGUUCGGCUACCGAAUGGACACAUAAAUAUGACAGCUUUCGAUCGGUUGGCCGCAAUCGUCGGCGCAUUCACGAAACACAUGUGCCAGGUCAAUCAAACGCUGCCGGAGCUCGGAGAAUUUGCAGGACUCGGCCGCCAUAUGCAGUCCUGUCAGCUAUUGAACGAAUCAGAACUUAUGCUAGCCUCGUUUGAAUGUGAAUCGCCAACGACGGCCGAGAAAGAACUAUACGACGUUACGUAGCACUUUGGCUGCCUUCUCUUCCUCGCCAUUUUUCUUCUCCAGCAGCACUAUCUGAAUCAGCCAAGAAAGCAGCAGCAGCUCUCCGAGGUCCGAAGACGACACAAUGGCAGCUGCACUCGACGGUUUCAGCCCCAGCCUCAGCCUAGUAGUUGCGGCAUUGCUGAGGAUCUCUUCGGUUCUUCUUCAUCUUCAAUUGACUCCAUAACGGUCCAUUAUUUGCAUACGCAGAUGGAAAUUUUCCCCACACUGGCUCAAAUCGUCCACCCGAGCCAUUUCCAUAGCACAACGGCGAAUUGCCGAGCAAGCAGCAUCCGGCCAACGAAUCCAUUGAUGCUGCUCCACCUCCUGCUCCUCUGAAUGUGCUAGCUGAAGUCAAUUGAGCUUCGGCAGCUGACAAUGGCAUCCGGAAAAUUCGGGUUCUGGUCUGGUUAGAGGUCCCGGGUUGGGCGCAAAGGGGUUUCCUAUGGGGACACACAGAUUCCAAUGGCCAUUUACGCCUUGUUUACUUUUGCCGCGGUAAAUUUUGCUUCACGUUUCUCGACGGAAAUCUAGUGACGAGAAUGUCUUCAAUUUCGGAGAUUCUGGAAAGCCGUUUUCAAUCUUACGAUAGAUUACGUCUACUUUUCCAACGGGUGACACAUAACCAAGCAGCCAGAAUGCAGUUACGGCGGCGCGAUUCCGGCGAAAGUUUCGAAACUGCGGCAAGGAGUAUCGGGCUGUUUUUGUUGUAACAGGCCAUAGCUGCGAGCUGCUACACAAUCUCCGCUCAAGCAAACUAGCUGUGGAAGCUAUCAGAACCCGACAAACGACGGCUCAUGGAGGAAUGAAUAUUUGUAUAUAUGUGGGAAAUCCAUUUCUAAUGUAUGAGGUAUGCUAUAAGUUAAAAAUAUAAUGUUAAUAAAAUUAUUACCCAGAAACUUUCAUUUCUUCAAUCCGAAAACUCCUAAAUUUGUUCAUGUGUGCGUGUUUUUCACGUACGGUUCCGAAUAACGUACGCAUUACGUUGGAAGAUCAUUAUGACAAAUCUUGUCUCAACUUUUACAGUAUGUGUCCAUUUAUAAAAUA